GGGUGCGUAGCUCAGUGGAAGAGCACCCGCCUUACAAGCGGGGGGUCGCUGGUUCGAACCCAGCCGCGCCCACCA
rnacentral:tRNA from 1 species